CUGGCGGCACGCCUAACACAUGCAAGUCGAACGGUGUAUUGGAGCUUGCUCUAAUGACAGUAGUGGGCGGACGGGUGAGUAACACGUGAGCAACCUGCCUUUUGGCGAGGGAUAGCUUCUGGAAACGGAUGGUAAUACCUCAUAAUAUAGCUUGAUCGCAUGGUCGAGUUAUCAAAGAAUUUCGCCAAAGGAUGGGCUCGCGUCUGAUUAGAUAGUUGGUGAGGUAACGGCUCACCAAGUCGACGAUCAGUAGCCGGACUGAGAGGUUGAACGGCCACAUUGGGACUGAGACACGGCCCAGACUCCUACGGGAGGCAGGCAGUGAGGGAUAUUGGGCAAUGGGCGCAAGCCUGACCCAGCAACGCCGCGUGAGGGAAGAAGGUUUUCGGAUUGUAAACCUCUGUCCUAUAUGAAGAGAAAGAGACGGUAGUAUAGGAGGAAGCCCCGGCUAACUACGUGCCAGCCGCUGC
rnacentral:rRNA from 1 species